GUAGCACGCCGGUUGUGUGUGUCGAAUCCCCGUCAGUAACGAGUUCUGUUAUUAUGUGAGGAUCGACUUAUCAAUCACGUGCAGUGUUUGUGGUGUAAGAUGACGUCAUCUUCCGGCUCCGGCAUCAGUGCGGUGCGCGAGGGAGCUGAAGAGGAAGCAGUGAGUGCUCCCUCGCGCGCCCGCCUGCCUGACCGGCCACCC